AACGAACGCUGGCGGCAGGCUUAACACAUGCAAGUCGAACGCAUCCUUCGGGGUGAGUGGCAGACGGGUGAGUAACGCGUGGGAACGUGCCCUUCAGUUCGGGAUAACCCAGGGAAACUUGGGCUAAUACCGGAUACGUGCGAGAGCAGAAAGAUUUAUCGCUGAAGGAUCGGCCCGCGUCUGAUUAGCUAGUUGGUGGGGUAAUGGCCCACCAAGGCGACGAUCAGUAGCUGGUCUGAGAGGAUGAUCAGCCACAUUGGGACUGAGACACGGCCCAAACUCCUACGGGAGGCAGCAGUGGGGAAUAUUGGACAAUGGGCGCAAGCCUGAGCCAGCCAUGCCGCGUGAGUGAUGAAGGCCUUAGGGUUGUAAAGCUCUUUCGUCCGGGACGAUAAUGACGGUACCGGAAGAAGGAGCCCCGGCUAACUUCGUGCCAGCAGCCGCGGUAA
rnacentral:rRNA from 1 species